rnacentral:tRNA from 1 species
GUAAAUAUAACUUAAACAAAGUAUUAGAUUGUGAAUCUAAAAAUAGAGAGUUAAACCCCUCUUAUUUACC